GUGUCAGCAGCCGCGGUAAUACGUAGGUGGCGAGCGUUGUCCGGAUUUAUUGGGCGUAAAGCGCGCGCAGGUGGUUGCUUAAGUCCGCUGUGAAAUCUCCCGGCUCAACUGGGAGGGUGCGGUGGAGACUGGGCGACUGGAGGGACCGAGAGGCCGGUGGAAUUCCCGGUGUAGUGGUGAAAUGCGUAGAGAUCGGGAGGAACACCAGUGGCGAAGGCGGCCGGCUGGGGGUACCCUGACGCUGAGGCGCGAAAGCGUGGGGAGCGAACCGGAUUAGAUACCCGUGUAGUCC
rnacentral:rRNA from 1 species